UUUAUAUUUCAUACUAAUUCAUUUUAGUUUAUUUUGCCAAAGCUUAGGUCUGUUACAGAUGCCCAUACCAUGAUAUCUCUUACGUGCUAUCCCCAACCCCUCCCUUCCUCCCUCUGCGCACCAUCGCCACCAGCUUUGCCUCUCUGGGGUCCGUGUGCAGCUCCAUCCUCUUGCUCACCUUCUACACUGGCUGUAGCAGGGAGCGGAGCUAGUGAGCAGUGUGCAGAUGAGCCACGGUGGAGGUGACUUGCUUCUCCCUCACCCUCCCCUCUCAUUGUCUGUCCUUCUUCCCACCUAGGACCCUCAAAAUCGUUUCCGCUGCAGACAGAAUGUGGCAACCAAGGGUCGGCCUCUCUCUCUGUUCCUUCGAUGCUCCUCCUCUGAGGUGAUGGUGGGCACAUUUGUCAGUUUCCUCCUUUUCAUAUAGUUCUCCUGGACUAUCCCAGGCCUGCCAGCCACCCCACUGCAGGAUGGCAGUUUUGAAAAUGAGGGGCACCCUCCAAAGAGGAUGACUUUGGGUGACAUGCAGACCCUGCGGUCAAUCAAGGAGAGUAGUGGGUAUUUCUCUUCAAUGUUCUUAUCAUGUAACAUUUAGAACGUGCCAGGCCUCUUUAAAUCAUUCAUUCCUUGAACACUCCCAAUAAUCCUAAAGGGAAAUGCUAUUUAUGAACCCAUUUUACUAAUCUGACAACUAUAACAAGAGGUUUAAGUAACUUGCUCAACAUCAGAGAGCUGAAAACUUAUCACUGAUUUAAAUCUAGCCAGCCUCUCAAGAGAAGCUGUCCAUGAUCAAGCUUUCCUUUGGCCCAGGUAUGUCGUCAGCACUUUUCUAUUGCUGGAAAUCUUUUUUUUUUUUUUUUUGAGACGGAUUCUCCCUGUGUCGGCCAGGCUGGAGUGCAGUGGCUCCAUCUCAGCUCACUGCAACCUCAAUCUCGGCUCACUGCAACCUCCGUCUCCCAGGCUCAAGCAAUUCUCCUGCCUAAGCCUCCAGAGUUAGCUGGGACUACAGGCGUGUGCCAAGAUGAUGCUUGACUCUGAGCUGGCGCAGGUGCAGGACCCACCUGCAGGGAAGAGAAAAAGGCAGUGAGCAGUGAGUGUGGUGCAGGGUUAGGAGCAGGCCCUCAGCAUCCUCAUGCUCAGUGCAUGGGAAACCUGGUACCUUGUUCUGCUCAGGCACACGGAAGCCCAGCCCCAUCUUUUCUCCACACAGGUUGUGAUAGGCAGGCGCCCUCCUAAUUUUACUCCACAAGGCCUUAUGUCAGGAAUCCUUAAGAGGCAAUGCUCCCUGCCUCCCAUCCACUUCAGGCAGCUCUAAUGCGGGACAGAGCACUGGGUCCCAGCCCAGGACCCUACUGGCUAUCUGGGUGACCCGGAGCAGGGCAGUUUUGAGCCUCAGUCCUCUAGCCUCAGAAAUGGAAGGCACUGGGAAGAUGACAACAGUCUAAGUGGUGAUGAAGGCGCUUGGCAGGAAGAAAGCACCGGAAGUGCAAAGUAAAGGAGGCCACUUUAGGGAGAGCUAACAUGCACCUCCCUCCUGCCCCGGGGACAUUCCAUCCUCUGGAAUGAAAAUGGAGAUCCUAAGGCCCGAAACCCGGUAUCUCUUACUAGUGGAGCAGGAGCACUUGGGGUACAUUUCGAGCCGAGCAUAAAGUUUAAGUAACUUGCUCAACAUCACGGAAUGGAAAAGUUGUCACUGAUUUGAAUCCAGCCAGCCUCUCAAGAGAAAGUGUCGAUGAUCAAGCCUUCCUUUGGCCCAGGUUACAUGAAGGUCAAAUGACAUGAAGAAUGGGAAAGGAUUUUAUGAGUGUUCAAAUGUUGGGGGAGCGUCUUAUCACAGAGGACUUUCUGCAGGAGGACAUCCACACUCCUCCUGUCACUGGAUCAGCCAGGAACAUCACCACACUCAGCCAGCUGCACAAUCUGCCAUAGCUGUGUUCUGAGAACUUCUGUAAACAAAGUAAUAUUAAUUAUGGAGAUGAUGAAAUCACAAUCAAAAUUCCAAACUAAGUUCAUCUGCAACCCACGAUCACACUACAUCUUGGCGGGAAUAUGCUGGUUUGAAGUAGUCAAGGGCUGGAGUUUGAAAGAGGAACAAAUGAAGCCUGACCUUGGGAGGAACUUCCAAAGAUUCUGAGCCAACUCCCAACAGGGAGCUCUCAGGAUUCAGCGAGUGUCCUGAGUGUGCUGUCUGUCUGUGACGCCGGCUAGGCCAAGCCUGAUGGUUCCUCAUGAGAAUGUCCUGGCCUGUGCUGCUGAAGGUGUGGUCCACAGUGGGGUCAGUCUGCUGUUUCCAGUCUCCAAUGCAACUCAUCCAUGAACAUAUGUGCAGAGUUUGUAAACCUUCCAUUUUUCUGUUAUUUCUGUAUGUAUUUAUUGAUUUUUUUGUGUAAAAUGUAAAACAUGGGUUCUGUAUUUUGUGUUUCAUUAUCUUCAUAGUUAAUAUUACUUUAUUUACAAAGGUUUAGGUCUGGGAUGGAUAGAAAAUGAAAACUGUCCCUUCACCGUGGAGUUUGAGAAGCCCCGUGGAGGAUUCAAGUAAUUUAGGCAUUGGAAUCCACCUCCUGUGGUCACUUUCAAGCCUAAAAUCCGCGGAGGAUCUGAACUUGGGCAGGGAAACCUGAGAAUAAACAUGAGGAAUGGAGAAGUCUCUGUACCACGUUUAAUGAGUGGAGCUGAUCGCGUAUGUCCCCAUCCCCAUAUCAUCCAGCACAGUGCAGGUGCCUUUUACAG
rnacentral:lncRNA from 10 species